CCAGCAGCCGCGGUAAUUCCAGCUCCAGUAGCGUAUACUAAAUCUGUUGCACUUAAAAAGCUCGUAGUCCGACUUGCGAGGGCACCCGCGACGAAGGCGCCGGCGAUUCAACGCCGCCGAGAGGCGGUGCGCCGGAGAAGCCCGCGCGGCGUCCCUCCUGGGCCCUGUGCGCGCGCGAGCGCGCACACGUUCCUGUGAGCAAAUCAGAGUGUUCCAAGCAGGCGUUUCGCGCCCCUGCAUGGUUUAGCAUGGAAUAACGAAGCGGGACUCUGGCCGCCCCGCUGUGUUGGUGCAGCCGGCCGGAGGACAUGGUUAAUAGGGAUAGUCGGGGGCAUUCGUAUUCCGGCGUCAGAGGUGAAAUUCUAGGAUUGCCGGAAGACGAACAACUGCGAAGGCAAUUGCCAAGGAUGUUCCCA
rnacentral:rRNA from 1 species